GACGUAGGGUCCGAGCGUUAAUCGGAAUUACUGGGCGUAAAGCGUGCGCAGGCGGUUUUGUAAGCCAGAUGUGAAAGCCCCGGGCUCAACCUGGGAACUGCAUUUGGGACUGCAAGGCUGGAGUACGGCAGAGGGAGGUGGAAUUCCACGUGUAGCAGUGAAAUGCGCAGAGUAUCAGGAGGAACACCGAUGGCGAAGGCAGG
rnacentral:rRNA from 1 species